CCUGGCUGAUCUGAGUUCUUCGUCAUGAAUGCAUCCCAUCUCAUUCCUGCCACCAUUCAAAUCUGACUUAGGCUGUUCCAUGGCCAAGAGUCAUAGAUUGGUACUUAAGGGAGGAGGUAAACGGAGCGGCCAGAACACAGACUCGGAGUCAGAGUGGAGCUGGAAUCUGCGGCUGCUCUUCUUAAGAUGCGAAACCCCAGAAACCAGUUAUUUCUGUGUGGAAAUGAAUUUAACCAAAUCGGAUGUCACAAAAGAUGGGAUAAAAGGAAAAUUAGAGGAGAAAUUAAGGAAACGACUUCAGGGUUUUGCCAUCUGUCCAGGAAGGAUGUGUUAUCCAUCUUGUAGAUUUCUGGAUCCUUCUUAAACCUACUGAAUUAAGAGUCUCCAGAGGAUGGGUACAGGAAUCUCAUUUUAAAAAACUCCCUGGGUGCUUCUGAAACAUGGUCAUAAUUCUAAAGUGCUGUACAGAGGUUGCCAUUGCUACAAUUCUGUGGUCAAAGAAAUACCAGUCUGAGUAUUACACUUCAAGUGUACCCCCUAGAGCUGCUUGACUUACAAGUGGAAGAUUUCUAAGGGAUGUGACUUCCUGAUGGACAUCCAGAGAGGGAGCCCAACUCUCGACCAAGUUGGAGUUUGGGUACCCAUGAACAUGGGAAGCGCAGCCCUCCAUAGAUCUACAGUUCAUUCAUGAUUAUUUCUUCCACCACUGAGCAUCCUUCUAGGGAAAGAAUGGUCCCCGGACAUACAGACAUUCCGCCUCGCCCCCUCCAGACAUCCCCUCCCCGCCCCGCCCCGCCCCCGCCAGCAGAACCAAUAGUAGGAUGCUGCAAGCUAGAAAUGGACUCCUGCAGGAAAAGGCAAUCAUCAAGUGUUUAAGACGGGGACUUGAGCUCCAGGACUGCAGGGGAGGACCAGAAGGACACCUAUCAAUAUUGAGGGGAGACCACAUGCUGAAGGCCAAGAAGUGGGAGCGCCAAAGACCUGGGAUGGACUGGGCUGUCAACUGAGAGCGGUCUUAAGAGAGUCACUACCCCGAUGGUGCCUCUGUUUUCAUCUGUAAAAUGUGGAUCCAACUUGUCUAUUACAGGAAGCUUCAUGAGAGUCAAAUGAAAUAACAGAUGUGAAGGGUUGCAGUGCAUGAUGGAAAACCAUGCAAAUACAAUGCAACGUUUUCAUUCUUUUAAAAGCAUUAUGACUAACGCGCUAUACCAUGAAUAUGGAACAUUCUCCAAGGAAUUAAGUCUAUGCAACUGGUUCAUUCAAUAAAAAGUAUCCCCUAUAAACAUCAUUCUCUGCCUCCCCAAGGAAAAGAAGUCUCGCGCUCCUAAGAGACGUCCCAAAAGAAGGGAGUGGCGUGUUUCUCAGUUUCACCCACUAGGAGCUGGAGGUGCAGGUGAACUGCACGAAGGGAUUUGCUGAUGAGCUAUGAAGUCGAAGAGGUUAUGUUAGGUGACAGUACAGAAGGGUUAAGAGUGAGCAAAUUCUUUGGGGUAAAAAGGAAAGAGAUCCUGGAAGGCUUUUCCAAACCACUAAGUAACAAAUUAGCUCCCACCUCCCGCCCACGCACCACUGGAAAUAACUUUAAAUAAUGCAUCUGAGAAUGUCUGCAGAACAGGCAGUCUGGAUUUGGGACUUUUAAAGGGAUGGUAUUCCAACAAGGAUCUUUUCUGGGAAACCAUCUUGAGAAUCAUUGAAUUCUUAGUCUAGUUCAUCUUGACAAAUAUCCUCAGGCAAAUCUGGAGCUAGAGCUGAAGUCUUGGGAUGGUAAACACCAUCAGAUGGAAAAAGGAUUUAUGGCAGGAAAGGUCCAGUGGCCCUCCCAACCACCAUGCCCCCACUCCUACCUUCAAUAGUGUGAAAGAUUCACUCACUCUAAGUGAACAGAGUUCCAUACAGAGCUGGCUGGUCAUUCGGAAUCUGUUGUAGAAACAGACCUAGAGCCAUUUAUUCUCUUAGUAAAUAUUCACGGAACAUCUAACAUCUGCCACGUGCCAGCCACUGUUCCGGCCCUGGGGAUACAGCAGUGAAUGAAACAUACAAAAAUCUUCACCCUUGUGCAGUUUAUAUUCUCAGGGAGAGGACAGAUAUUACAGCGAAUAACAUAUCAUGCAUCUUACAAGUAUUUUGGAAAAGAAUAAAGCAAGGAAGGUUGGGAAGGUGUUCCUAUUUAUAAAAUAGGGUGGUCCGAUAAGAUCAUAAAUGAACCAGGGAGGGAGGGAACCAUGAGGACCUCAACGUGAAGAGCAUUCCUGGCAGAGGGCCCAGCAGGUAUAAAAGGCCUGAGGCAGGAGAAUGGUUCGUGAAUUCAAGGAACAGUAACUAGAUCAGCAGCUUCAGUUCAAAGAGCAAGGAGGAGGGCAAAAAGAGAUAAAACUCAGAGAGGUGGCAAGGGAACACACCAGAUAGGGACUUGAAGGCUUUAGAUUUUACUUUGACUGUGAUGGGGAAACACUGGGGUGUUUUGAGCAGCAGAGUGAUAGAAUCCAUCCUACGUUGUAAAAGGAUCUCUGGUUAGGCUGAUGAGGAGAGACUGCAGGAAAGCAAACGUGAAAACAGAGAGAUCAGUUGGGAGGCAACGAGAGAUGAAAGUGAUCUGGUGAGUAUGGAGCAGUGAAGCUGACACAUUUCCUGUUCGAUUGAAUGUGAGAAAAGUGAGGCAGUGAGGAUGACUCCAAGGUGCUGAGCUAGAACGUCUAGAAGAAUGAAGUUACCAUACCUGGAGAGGAGAAAACUCUGUAGGAGGAGGCAUGGUUGAGAUGCCCAUUUGACAUCCUAAGCAGAUGGUGAAUAUAUGGAAAAGAGGAGGGGAGACUGGGCUGGGAAUGUAAGUAUACAGGUUGUCAGCAUAUGGAUGGAAUUUCAAGUCAGGAGUCUGGUAAGACAGAGAAGUGAAGCGGUCAGUGUUUCAGCCUGGGGUCCUUUCACAUUUUUUAGAGGUGAGGAGAUGAGGAGUCAGAGAAUAAGCAGCUAAUAAGGUAGGAGAACCAAGCGAAGAGACUCCUGGCUGCCAGAUACCUUCAACCAAGUGUCAAGGAAGGAAGAAAGGGUCACCUGGAUCAAAUGCCACCGAUGGACAAAAGGAGGAUGGAGAAUUGACUGAAUGUGGUGAUGCCGAGGCCCCUUGAUGACCCUGACAAGAACAGUUUGGGCAGGAGGUGGGACCAAAAAGCCUGGCUGAAACUAGUUUAUGAGAGAAGAGGGGGAAAGAAAGUAGAAACAGCCAGUGCAGAUGACUCUUCGAGAAGUUUUAUUCUUAAAGAAUCUGUUUUGCAUGCUUCAGGCGUUGUAAGAAGAGAAACAGCUGCAAUGAUCCCUCAAGAUGCUAAGCUGGACUGUGACAACCUCUGAUCAGCAGCUCUUUUUUUCCUUUCAGUUUUAUGGAGAUAUAAUUGGCACCCAGCACUGCACAAGUUUAAGGUGUGCAGCAUGAUUUGACUUCCAUACAUCAUGACAUGAAGACCGCAGUAGGUUUACUGAACAUCCAUCACCUCCCAUAGAUACAAAAUUAAAGAAAUAGAAAAUAUAGA